rnacentral:lncRNA from 1 species
CUAGUUGGAUGCCCAUACGUUGUCACGGGACAAAAACAUUUAUGAAGGUAAUAAGCUAUCAAAUUACAACAACUGUAAAUGCUCAAUGUAUCUCCGCUACACGCAUCGUGUGUCAUCUCGUCUUAAACUCUCCUCUCAGUCGAGUAUUGAGGUAGGACACUAAUAAUAUGAUCAUGUACUAAGAACCUCACAUUAACACGGAUAAUGA